rnacentral:lncRNA from 1 species
CAUUAUUGUUACGGCAAUAGUUACUAUGUUGUUUUAGUUAUAUUAUGAGCGUGUAGAAUCUUCCUAUAUGCAAUUUGAGAACUUUUAGACGCUCAAAUUAGCAAAACAACAUGUUAUUAUACAUGUGAUGGGCUACAUAAUAUAAUAUUUUCUAAUUAUUAUAUUCGUACGGGUCCGGUGACUGGCAAGACUAUAUUAUGGAAUAUUAGUCAUUAAAAGACCGCAGCAAGGCCAUUCAGUUUGCUUAUACCCUUCGUUUAGAAUAAUAAAAAAAAAAUACACUGAAUAAAGUACUGUACGUUGUGACAUGAAUAUAAAUGAAGUACCUACUCAGAAAAGUGCCACUGACACUCUUAUUGUCAACAUUUUUAUUGUUAUACCAUGCGUACGUCUGUAGUACAUGCGUCGUCGUACGAUGAGUGCUCACCAAAACAUGUUAUACAUGGUUAUACCUGCAGCAGCUGUCAAUGUGGCAAGGACGGAAAACAAAAUCGUUUGAUAUGGACGUGCAAAUUUGUUAAGUCAUGGAAAAUUCAAAAGCUACCUUAAUCAUUGGCUGAAACGAAAAUCCUGCUGAACCCCGACUCUAUAUUGUCUACUACUAUCAAAUACAUUCAUUGUAGCUACUAAUUAAACUAUAUUAUCUGUUCAGUGAUCAUUAAGUUGUGCACUUCAUGUAAUAUGUGUAGGUAUAUGUAAACUGUGUAUAAUGUCAUGUAUGUUGGAAUCUCUGUGAAUCACUCCUUAGCAGGUGUGCGCGUGGGUUAAUUAUUUACUCCAGUCGAUAUAUUUUAAUGUGCUAUGCAUUUUUUUUGUUAAUUUUCUAUAUUCUAUUGAGUAGUGCUAUCUGUUAAAAAUAAUUUUCGUAAAAUCACAUAUUUCUAUAUUCUUGAAUAUCCACAAACCUAUUGUUUUAUAAUAAUUGUAUAAACAUGAUACAUCAAGGGCCGUUCUUACAUUGUCCGGUUUAGUGUCGGUUAAGAUACUAACCGGAAAAAUUCUAUCGGUAACAUAAGUCAUGUGACAACUAUCAUCGUCGUUUGUUGGUGAUCUGAAGACCAUUAUACGUACCUUCACCAACAACAAUGACGAUGAAUCGGUGGACGUUAGUAUACUGAUCAAAAAUUCCGACUUCGAUUCGAUGAGAGACAACGGUUGGCAGACGUUGGACGACUUGCAGCGAGCUGAUGUGGAAUCAGGUGGUUACGAGGUGUACCCAUUAACUGGUAAGAAUGCCAAUCAUGUCGUCGGUCGUCCGACUGCGGUCGUGAAGUUUGUGAGUCUGCUUAACGUGUUAAGUCAGUCUCGGUGACCAAACAUAUCGUCAUAACAGUCAAUGCAACAAAUCGUUACUCCAACCACUUGCACAGUCGAUCAGUCUUUGAUCCCCGCUGGUCCAACCGUGACACCGUGUACCCAUUCGAUGUGUUCAGCGUGUCGCGUUCUCUCCUACAGGUCCGUAUAAAACAAUUCAUUUGAUGUCAUAUUAUCGCCUAUAGUGGUGGCUUAGGGGAUACUUUUUCAUGGCGACUAAGGAAGACCUAUGGGAAUUGUGUUAUGUGCUUAGGGGAUGAUGUGGCACGCCGAGCACGUCGAAUGGUUAAACGAAACGGCCAAGUCAGGGUCGUAGGCUAAUCAGCUGUGCAGGAAGUUGUAGUAAGUAACGGUUUGUUCAACGGCUCAUGUCCUUAGUGCCCAGAGGCUACCCUCAGCCCACCACUUCACCAGCUCACUGGUGCCCAUCGAAACCGACUCUUGAAAUGGUCCUUGACCCGAAAUUAUGGUUGAUCGGCCAAUUGUCGAACAGACUUCAUGGCAAGUCACCCAAUCAAUUUGUCCUGUGACGGCACUAAGCAGGAACUCAAACACGUUUAAAGCGAUGUAGUUGGCUGUACACAUGUGAUGACACCCACUGCCGUGAAAUAUGCUGGAGAGUUGCAGUGAGUGUGAUGAGAGUCCACAUGGAUGUUUGAUUACAUGGUUUUACAAUGGUGGCGUAUCAGCCGACGAUGAUUAGAAGUUUGAGUUUCCCGAGUGAUAGUCUCGAGCCUUCACUCGCCAACGCGUUUUUUGCUUUAACAGCGUUUCCAAGAUGCGGUCGACUGUCAGCCGUGCAGGUGAGGCAAUUGUUAUUAUGCAAAGCUCUACCGAUAAACUGUCAGAUUCUGUGAAGAUGAUUAAAACUACUUUAAAUCUGCAGUUGGACAUGAUGAUCAGUUAUGUUCUUUUUUUGCUUAUUUUUAUUAUUGUUAAAAUUUGUUAAAAACUUUAAAUGUAUUUGAUUUUAUCGAAUAUCCAACAGUUGUAUUUUUUUCACCGUAUUUUAAGGUAUCUUUCUACAUCUGUGAUUAAUACUGCAGAUAACUACAAAAAUUACUUCUUCAAUGCUCUAAUGGUGAUUCGUAUUAUAAUAUGCAUAUCAUCUAAUGUUUCACAUCCGUUGACAUGUUUAUAGAAACUAUAUAAUACUGCAAUGUACAAGAAUUUAUACAAGAAUUUUUACAUAUUUUACAUAUUUUUGAAAAUGGAUCAUUGGAUACGUAUUCAACCUUCAAUUACUAAAAUUAUGACACACUGUAAAACGAAAGUAAAAACUGUGCAGUGACGUUACAUUUUUAAUAAUAUAGUAAUUUAUAUAAUUAUUGUGCUUUAAUAUUAAUUCUAUGUUGUAUAUCAUAAUAUGAUGUAUAUAAUAAAUAACCUAUUUAAUAUCUAUAUACAAUUAGUGCAUAUUUCAAUGUAGAUUUUAUUAUUGCCUAUUAUUUAUUUAUGGAAUAUCUAUCACAUUUGUUUUGUUUUUAUUAUUUACUUAAUUUAGAACUCUUGUCUUCUACACAAGCUUAAUCUUGGAAACUAAUUAUUUUAUAUUUAUAUUUAAUUAUCUUAAAAUGUUGUA